UACGGAGGGUGCGAGCGUUGUCCGGAAUCAUUGGGCGUAAAGGGCGCGUAGGUGGCCCGGUCAGUUCGUGGUGAAAGCGCGGGGCUCAACCCUGCGUCGGCCAUGAAUACUGCCGCGGCUGGAGCACUGUAGAGGCAGGCGGAAUUCCGGGUGUAGCGGUGAAAUGCGUAGAUAUCCGGAGGAACACCGGUGGCGAAGGCGGCUUCCUGGACCGACACUGACGCUGAGGCGCGAAAGCGUGGGGAGCAAACAGG
rnacentral:rRNA from 1 species